rnacentral:lncRNA from 1 species
AUUUCAAUUUAUUCACAAUCCGCUUAGUUGCGUAUUUGUUAUUGGUCAUUUUUUUUUUUUUUUUUUUUUUUAGAAUAUUCUUCCCCCCCUAUUCCCGCCCUAAACAGUGCGUUCCAUUCCGAUCCGAAAUCAAAAAUAUGUCCGGUUUCGUAGACUCUUAACAUAAGAGUGAUGGCCGAAGGAGGUGAAGAAGUGGAAGGAAAAAACACUGCCUACAUGCAUAUGAGGAAAUGAACCUCUUACGUUAUCGAUCGACCUGCUAAAAAUAACAGCUAAAUUUCCCUGAAUCCACAUCAUACCAUCUUAAAGCAUACAUGAUGUAUGUAGCCCUGGAUAUAGUAUGUGAAUAUAAGAUGUGGUAGCCAUGAUUGGAACCCUUUGGUCACAGCAUGGAGGUCCAGUGACAAGACCAUUGACGUCAAGGAUCAAGUACAGAUCAAAGACUGCAGUAUUUGAUUUCAACUUCAUACAAUGACUCUGGUAUUUACAAGAUAUGUAUACUCAGAUUCAAUCAAAGAUAAAUUUCUCGUUUGUUCUGCACUUAAAAUGAUACCAAGGCUUUAGAUAGUUUGGUAAAGAUUUCAUCUUACAUGGAAUCAGGAAAUCUUUUGUAAGACAAUGUCUGUGGAUGUUGUCAGUGGUGCAGCUAAUACAGGAUCAAGGAGAGUGACUGCUCACCACUGAACACACUUUUCAAAAUUGGCCCCUAUUCAACAAUCUUUUUAAACUCUAGUUCUCUUGUGCGAUAAAAGUCAAAUCUUUUUUUUUUUUGUUUUUUUUGUUAAUGGUGUGGCCUUGGAAGAACUUUCUGGAAAACUUUAUUUGAACUGUGUUCAAUCUCCUGUGAUGUGUUGGUGGCUGCUGACAUCUGAAGAACCAACACAAACCCUGACGUCAUAAGCUUCCGACAUUAAACGAUCUGCCAAGUUGUAAGUUUCAUACAUAAUGCCGUUGUUACUGAAACAUAAAAUUAAAUGAAUGUAGAACACAAUUACGUAUAUUAUAAUUAACUAAAUAUUUCGUGUAAUAUAAGAGAAAUUAGUUAAAAAUUGUUUGGUAUGUGCCGCGGUGCCUUUUUUUUUUUUUUUCUUGUGCGACCCGGGUUGUGCCACUGUGUUGUACAAAUGGAGUAUCAGCAAUGUGGGGAACAAAAUCUAAAUUUCAAGUUAGUAGGUAAAAAAACAGCCAAAAUGAAAGACAAUCAUUCAAUAACCCAUUGUUAGGCCUUAAAAACACUUCAAGCUUCACUUGGAAAGAUUUUGGACCAUGCAAUUCAAAUUGUGAAUUUGUCAAAAUGAGGAGCCUACUUUAUGCAGUUUGUCACUUGCUUCUUUUACAUACAAAUGUUUGGUGGCUUUCCAAAGGGAAUGUACCUAUUUGAGCUUAGAGAUGAACUUAAAUUAUUUUUUGAAUUUCAGGAUAAGAAAGAAUUUUUGUCUGACUGAAUAAGGAAGGAUGGAUUAUGUGCCUUCCUAUCUGGUUGAUGUUUUUGAACAACUGAAAAAAAAAAAAUUGAAACUUCAAGUGCAAGACAUGAAUACAGACACUAUUAAAUUCUUUGAAAGCUUUCAUGAACAAAAUGGAAAAUGUAAUGUUUCAGAAACUGUUACCAAUUCUUGUUGCUAGUGGUGAAGAUUAAGAUCUCCUAAAUUUAUAUAUAUAACAUUGUGCAGUCUUUGACAGCACUAACAAAUUAAUUCGGUGAUUAGUUGAAUUUAAUUAAAUGUAAAACCCAUGUAAGUUCACUUUUUAAAAGUUCUUGAUGAUUGCUGAUAUAAAUUUCUAGAGCUGAAGUGUGAUUCAGAAGCAAUAAUUCAUGUUCAAUAAGAAAAUGAUCACAAAAUUCUUGCUUUUGAUGUGUGAUUGCUGUCCAAAAUUGACAGAAAUAGCUAUUUAUGCCAUACUUCCAUUUGUACCAACAUUGUUGUGAAAUAAGCUUUUCAACUUUGUUGUAAAUGAAAAUGAAGCAAUGAAGAAGACUAGGAGUUAAAAGUUUUCUAUAAUGUCCCUUUCUAGUACUCUUCUAUGUAUCCAAGAAUUUGGUCAAUAAAAAAACAAUCACAAGAAAAACAAAGAAAAUAAUUACUUUUCUCAUUGACCGUAAUCUUCAUCAGAAUAAAAUAAAUUACAAUAGCCUGGCAUUCUAUCAAACAUUUUGUUUAUAGAAGUAUGCUACAGUAACUUCAGUCUUUAAAGUAAUUAGUUACGAACAUAUGUAUAACAAAAAAACUAUUUUUAUUUGAGUUUUAAAAUCAACAUUUCUAUUGCUAUUAAAUUUGUAAAACUCCAUUAUGAAAAUAAUCCAAGCAAAUGUGUAUUUCAGUAUUAUGUGUAUAUUAUUUGGAAUGUAACUUUUGAUUCAGAAAAUCUUGGAAAAUUAGGAGUGAUAUUCUGAAAUAUAGUGAAAAAGAUCCAUGGAGAAGAAAAAGUUUGAGAAACACUAUUAAAGAGGAUAAAAACAAGAUUUCAAAAGAAUGACGUUAAAUCCAAGAUCCUCAUAGGAAUACCUUCCCUUAUAAUACCCUAUUAAACAAUCUGAAGUCCUCCAUUCUUGGGAGUUAUAUAGGGCCCACUUUUUUUUUAGAGAAUUAACUAACUUAGAUUAUUAAGAACCUCUACCAACACUGUGAUGAUGAUGCUUAUUUGAGUCAAAAACAUGUUCACAUCUGCCUUACAGCUUGAAAAAAAAAAACAGAUUUCCUUUCCCUUUAAUGGCAUGUGAAUUUUGGAGAAUUUUUGCUUUGAUUACAUGAGAUUUUCUCCCCUUCUUUUUCAAAGCAAUCUGCAAUUCCCACUAGGCAGUUGUUUACUUUCUCUUGAAACAAAGAUAAUUUCAAUAAAAAUUUUGCCUUGUA